rnacentral:rRNA from 1 species
UACGUAGGGAGCAAGCGUUGUCCGGAAUCAUUGGGCGUAAAGCGCGCGUAGGCGGCCUCAUAAGUCCGUUGUGAAAGUCAAAGGCUCAACCUUUGAAAGCCGAUGGAUACUGUGAGGCUAGAGUCCGGAAGAGGCGAGUGGAAUUCCUGGUGUAGCGGUGGAAUGCGUAGAUAUCGGGAGGAACACCAGUGGCGAAGGCGGUUGCCUGGGGCUUUGCUGACGCUGAUGUGCGAAAGCGUGGGGAGCGAUCCGG